rnacentral:rRNA from 1 species
CCCUUAGAUGUUCUGGGCCGCACGCGCGCUACACUGAAUGGAUCAACGUGUUUUCCCUUCCCGAGAGGGACGGGUAACCCGCUGAACCCCAUUCGUGGUAGGGAUCGGAGCUUGCAAUUGUUCUCCGUGAACCAGGAAUUCCCAGUAAGCGCAAGUCAUAAGCUUGCGUUGAUUACGUCCCUGCCCUUUGUACACACCGCCCGUCGCUACUACCGAUUGAACGUUUUAGUGAGGUACUCGGACUGAGCCUCAGAAGAUUCACGUCUUUUGUGCUGCUCGGGAAGAUUCCCAAACUUGAGCGUUUAGAGGAAGUAAAAGUCGUANCA